rnacentral:rRNA from 1 species
UACGAAGGGGGGCUAGCGUUGUUCGGAAUUACUGGGCGUAAAGGGCUCGUAGGCGGCCAACUAAGUCAGACGUGAAAUCCCUCGGCUUAACCGGGGAACUGCGUCUGAUACUGGAUGGCUUGAGUUCGGGAGAGGGAUGCGGAAUUCCAGGUGUAGCGGUGAAAUGCGUAGAUAUCUGGAGGAACACCGGUGGCGAAGGCGGCAUCCUGGACCGAUACUGACGCUGAGGAGCGAAAGCCAGGGGAGCAAAGCGGG